ACUUAACUUAAAUUCUAUCAAGCUUGCGCCGCCGCCCAUCUCCAUCCUCCUAUUCUCUCCUCUCUCAUUCAGUUCAUCUGUCGACUCUACUCUCUCACUCUUUGCCCCGUCGUCGACCGCCGUGCUCUCCUCUGUGCCGCCGUCCUUGCUUUCUCUCUUCCCUCAACUUUUCCGUCUCUCAGUUUUCUCCCAUUUUCUGUCGCAGUAGCCGCGCCGCCGUCCUCCUCUCCUCUCCACUCUUCAGCAGCCUCCAAGUCCAAGGUUUGCAUUGAUAGAUUAAACCCCAAUUCCCCUUCUCCCUCGUCUGCAUCUUCAAUUCCAGAGUUUGCAUCUUCAAUUCCAGAGUGGGGCACAACAGCAGAUUCAAGAAAAGGUAUUUGUAGAAGAUGAUUUCACCUUACAUUUCUUUUUAUGGUGAAUAUAUUGAAUGAACUUUGUUGGUGUGAUUACUGAAAUCCAUGUUUAUGCUUAAAAUUGCUGAAAUCACGUCUGAAAGUUUGAAAGUGUUGCCGAAAUCAUGUUUAUUUGAAUAUGCCUGCAUCUCCCGAUUUCUACAUUCUCGCAUAGACUCAGCGCCGCCUUGCAUAGUCUCAGCGCCUCCGCGCAUCGAGGCAGCCGCCUUUCGCCGACGAGGCGCGUGUACAAAAAAAUCGUACAGAGGCGCACAUAUUGGUGUGCUUCAGCGUCUCCUUGCCUUGAGGCGCGCCUCAAGGCGUCCGCCUCCAGCGAUUUUCACAACAUUGGAUAGUUCAUGUUUUAUUUUUAGGGAAAGAUGAAAAAAGGGAUUCACCCUCAAAUGCAAUGGAUAUCGUACGUGACCCAAAGUGGUCGUCUGAUGACUGUGAUGAUGACCAAGAUUCAUGAGACUGGUAAAGUUUAUCAUUUGCGAGCAAAGCGGCAGAUGGCUCAGAACUUAGGGCAGAUCGCUAAGUUCAAGCGUAAAUAUGGGGAAAAGGAAGAGGAACCUCAAAUGGAAGGGGAACCUCAAAAGAAAUGAUUUCAUUGAGGUACUAAACGUAUUCUAGACAGCCUUGUUUUUUUGUUUUGGGACUUGGUCAUAUUGGUGUAGUAUUCCGUUUUACUCAAGAUUAGUACUGUGCUCAACUGAUGUAUGCUCAUCAUUUUCAAUCUCUGAUCAUAAUAAAAGCUGCUUUAUGUCU